GACGAACGCUGGCGGCGUGCUUAACACAUGCAAGUCGAACGGAAAGGCCCUUCGGGGUACUCGAGUGGCGAACGGGUGAGUAACACGUGGGUGAUCUGCCCUGCACUUUGGGAUAAGCCUGGGAAACUGGGUCUAAUACCGAAUAGGACCACGCGCUUCAUGGUGUGUGGUGGAAAGCUUUUGCGGUGUGGGAUGGGCCCGCGGCCUAUCAGCUUGUUGGUGGGGUAAUGGCCUACCAAGGCGACGACGGGUAGCCGGCCUGAGAGGGUAACCGGCCACACUGGGACUGAGAUACGGCCCAGACUCCUACGGGAGGCAGCAGUGGGGAAUAUUGCACAAUGGGCGCAAGCCUGAUGCAGCGACGCCGCGUGAGGGAUGACGGCCUUCGGGUUGUAAACCUCUUUCAAUAGGGACGAAGCGCAAGUGACGGUACCUAUAGAAGAAGCACCGGCCAACUACGUG
rnacentral:rRNA from 1 species